rnacentral:rRNA from 1 species
UACAGAGGGUGCAAGCGUUAAUCGGAAUUACUGGGCGUAAAGCGUGCGUAGACGGUUGCGUAAGUCAGAUGUGAAAGCCCCGGGCUCAACCUGGGAAUUGCAUUUGAGACUGCGUAGCUAGGGUGCGGAAGAGGGAAGCGGAAUUUCCGGUGUAGCGGUGAAAUGCGUAGAUAUCAGGAAGAACACCAACGGCGAAGGCAGCUCGCUGGGACGGUACUGACGCUGAGACGCGAAAGCGUGGGGAGCGAACAGG